AAACAGAAGCAGAACCAUUUUAAAGUGAGAUAAGAUGAUGCUGUUCAUCCUCUGCUGGAUGAGCUCCAAUAUCUUACUAGUUUCAGGUUCCUCCCUGAGCGACCAGGUCAUCCAGACUCCAGCUCAGAUGUUCCAGAAAACCAAAGAAACAGCCAGAAUCAGCUGUUCUCACAGCAUUCAGACCUACAACCAGAUCCUCUGGUACAAACAGACUGAGCAUCAGAUGCAGCUGCUGGGAUACAUGACAGGAACCAGUCCGUUUCCAGAGAAGGGAGUGAACGUGGAGAUGGCGGGGAGCGCGAAUGCAAACCAGGACUGCACUUUAAUAAUCAAAGAGCUGAACGUGAGCAGCAGUGCUGUUUACUUCUGUGCGGCUAGUAGCACAGUGCUGCGGUUCACUGCUGCUCAGUGCAAAAACCCAACAUCAGUGUUUCUGUAAUCUGCAUCGCAGCUCAUCUCAUCCUGCACCUGCGAGGAAGUGGCGCAAUUCAUCCCACGGGGUUUUAUACUUCAGUUCAUUCAAAUGUUUUACAUUUUGAUUAAGAGUUUAAUCAAAGAGUGAGAUCAGGAAACGGGAAAGAUAAAGUCUGACCAAGCAAACUAAAGUUCAUGUGGAAUCAUGAGUAUCAGGAUCAGUUUUGUAAGUAAAUUCAAAGUGAUACAAAAAGAGAAGAGAUAAGCAUUUUUUGGAUUUUUUUUUUAACAGCUAAAAUCAUUUCAGUUCAAUUUCAAAUUUAACAACACUUUGCUUUCAAAGGGAAAUCAAAUAAUAUAACUGAAGUCAUUCAACAUUUUUAAAGGGUUAUUGUAGAUGGAGACGGUGGGACAGAUCUCCUGCAGCAGUCUGUGUUGCAGCGAAUUUCAAAAAGCCUCUCAUAAAAGUAUAAUUUUCAAACUCCAACAGAGAGACUAAUGUGCUUACUGUAAAAUAUUUAUGAAAGCAGCACUAAAAAUUCUAACCUAUAUUAUAACCUGUAAUAUAGGCCCUUAACUGGCCCCCGGCUUCUCCCCACAUACUAUGUUGUGGGGAGAAGUCAGUCCCCACAACUUAGUAUUUUUUAGAAAAUGGUCCUUAAACUGUAUCGAAAACAAGGCCACAGAAAGAAACACACGUUCAUCCCUGUACCUCCAGCCAGCUGGGGACUUUUAUUGAUUUCCAUUCAUAUUCAUAACUGCAUUUAUGUCUAACCCAGAAAUUUUGCCUAAUAUAUUCCUAACAUUAACUUAAGGAUAUGGUCUAAAUCUUACUGAAAUAGAACUGAA